rnacentral:rRNA from 1 species
GGAGUCUGGGCCGUAUCUCAGUCCCAAUGUGGCCGUUCAACCUCUCAGUCCGGCUACUGAUCGCAGCCUUGGUGAGCCGUUACCCCACCAACUAGCUAAUCAGAUAUGAGCCCAUCUUUCAGCGGAUUGCUCCUUUGGUACCUCGGGGAUGCCCCCAUGGCACAUUAUGCGGUAUUAGCAGUCGUUUCCAACUGUUGUCCCCCUCUGAAAGGCAGGUUGCUCAUACAUUACUCACCCGUCCGCCACUAAGUGUCAAAAGCAAGCUCUCAACACUCCGUUCGACUUGCAUGUGUUAGGCACGCCGCCAGCGUUCAUC